rnacentral:pre_miRNA from 1 species
AUUAUACUCCCUCCGUCCCAAAAUUCUUGUAUUAGAUUUGUCUACAUACGAAUGUAUCUAUUCACAUUUUAUUGUUAAAUACAUCCGUAUCUAGAUAAAUCUAAGACAAGAAUUUUGGGACAGAGGGAGUAGAUA